GAAAUCGCCUGCUCGUUCUUCAUCCCUUCGACUCUCCGCAGCACAAAAGCGGGAGGCGGCGACUUGCCCUCCUCCUGUGCCAGGGUCAACCACGCCUGCCUUUCCAAUUCGGCAUCAUCCUCAACGAUGACCCCCUCCCACUCGAAGAUGACGCCGAGCCACCAGCAGCACAUGCGCUCGAGGCGGAGCAGCUGGUUGUGCAGUGGGUUACCUUGCUAACUACAAAAUAUAAGUCCAGAUGGCAGGUAAUAAGCUAGCUGAUGUAAACAAAAGGAAAUAAGAAAUGGCAGCCGUGCAGACAAUCAAGCCCCAGAAUGAGACACUGGAGAUGUCGUAAAUUGUCCGUCUUUGAACGCGUGAAUGUACUGUUGGGGCAAGGAAUGCUCGGCCUGCAAAAGUUUUAGCAAAAAUGAGAGAAUGGUCAAGACCAGCGUAUAUAUAUUUUUUAUACAGAAAAAAACUAUGGUCUCCUUUCAGUUCAAUUUCGCCAUGUUCUCCCAGAAUGGUUUGUGUAAGUGCUGGAUGGUGAAAUAUGAAGUUGAGAGCCUUGGAAAAGCAAAAGUGGAACCAAAGUUUCAGUUUACUUAAUUAAAAUUUCAGAUGGCAGGUAAUAAGCUAGCUGAUGUAAACAAAAGGAAAUAAGAAAUGGUGAAAAUUUUGACCCGUUCUAAUAUCUAGUUACCUUGCUAACUACAAAAUAUAAGUCUAGAUGGCAGGUAAUAAGCUAGCUGAUGUAAACAAAAGGAAAUAAGAAAUGGCAGCCGUGCAGACAAUCAAGCCCCAGAAUGAGACACUGGAGAUGUCGUAAAUUGUCCGUCUUUGAACGCGUGAAUGUACUGCUGGGGCAAGGAAUGCUCGGCCUGCAAAAGUUUUAGCAAAAAUGAGAGAAUGGUCAAGACCAACGUAUAUAUAUUUUUUAUACAGAAAGAAACUAUGGUCUUCUUUCAGUUCAAUUCGCCAUGUUCUCCCAGAAUGGUUUGUGUAAGUGCUGGAUGGUGAAAUAUGAAAUUGAGAGCCUUGGAAAAGCAAAAGUGGAACCAAAGUUUCAGUUUGGGGUCAUCUGCCCUGUUCCGCGGAGGCCAUGACGGCGUGGGGCUGGUGACCCCAACGUCCCCCAUGUCGCCACCAUCCCCGGGGAUCCCCCGAUACUCCCUGCGAGGGCU
rnacentral:lncRNA from 1 species